AGUGAACGCUGGCGGUAGGCCUAACACAUGCAAGUCGAACGGCAGCACAGAGGAGCUUGCUCCUUGGGUGGCGAGUGGCGGACGGGUGAGGAAUACAUCGGAAUCUACUCUGUCGUGGGGGAUAACGUAGGGAAACUUACGCUAAUACCGCAUACGACCUACGGGUGAAAGCAGGGGACCUUCGGGCCUUGCGCGAUUGAAUGAGCCGAUGUCGGAUUAGCUAGUUGGCGGGGUAAAGGCCCACCAAGGCGACGAUCCGUAGCUGGUCUGAGAGGAUGAUCGGCCACACUGGAACUGAGACACGGUCCAGACUCCUACGGGAGGCAGCAGUGGGGAAUAUUGGACGAUGGGCGCAAGCCUGAUCCAGCCAUACCGCGUGGGUGAAGAAGGCCUUCGGGUUGUAAAGCCCUUUUGUUGGGAAAGAAAUCCAGCUGGCUAAUACCCGGUUGGGAUGACGGUACCCAAAGAAUAAGCACCGGCUAACUUCGUGCCAGCAGCCGCAGUAA
rnacentral:rRNA from 1 species